rnacentral:pre_miRNA from 1 species
UUAUGAUGAUGAUGAUGAUGAUGACGAUGAUGAUGAUGAUGAUGUAAUUACUAUCGUCCUUACCAUCAUUAUCAUAAUCGUUUUCAUCAUCAUCAUCU